rnacentral:rRNA from 1 species
UCGCUAGUAAUCGCGCAUCAGCCAUGGCGCGGUGAAUACGUUCCCGGGCCUUGUACACACCGCCCGUCAAGCCAUGGGAGCCGGGGGCGCCUGAAGUCCGGGACCGCGAGGACCGGCCUAGGGCGAAACUGGUAACUGGGGCUAAGUCGUAACAAGGUAUC